rnacentral:rRNA from 1 species
UUCAAACGAGGAAAGGCUUACGGUGGAUACCUAGG